GUAGUUGAUGGUAAAGUGGUUAGCACAGUUGUCUUCCAAGCAAUAGAACUGGCUUCAUUUUCCAGCCAUUACA